GCAGGAGAGUCUAGUUGUUAGGGUGUUUGACUCCCAGCCUAAAGGUUCUGGGUUCAAACCCCAAUGUCUGCA